UACGGAGGGUGCGAGCGUUGUCCGGAAUCACUGGGCGUAAAGGGCGCGUAGGUGGCUUGGUAAGCGUGUGGUGAAAGCCUGGGGCUCAACCCCGGGUCGGCCAUGCGAACUGCCGAGCUUGAGCACUGUAGAGGCAGACGGAAUUCCGGGUGUAGCGGUGGAAUGCGUAGAGAUCCGGAAGAACACCGGUGGCGAAGGCGGUCUGCUGGGCAGUUGCUGACACUGAGGCGCGACAGCGUGGGGAGCAAACAGGAUUAGAAACCCUCGUAGUCC
rnacentral:rRNA from 1 species